rnacentral:lncRNA from 1 species
GUCACUGUCUCGGUGGAUGGGCACUCCAUUGUCAUCUGCCACGCUAGGUUCUGCUGCUUGCAAGCCAGCAUCCCGCUGUCGGAGCCUUGCCACAACUUCUAGCACGUCCUCUUCUUCGCCACUUUCGAUGUGUUGUGGCUCUCCAGCCUCCACCAUGGCGAUGACUGCCGGGUCCUCCGCUCCUGUUCAAAGUAGGCAAAAGAUAAAGGCCACUGUAGAGAUGGAUUUCAGAUUCAAUCUCAUAUUGUUCUUGACACAAUGGUCAAGGCAUACCCGCAGCAUCCUCCGCAGGCUGUUGCUUCUGCUUCUGUCUAUUGUGAGUCUCGAGCUGAGGCGCCAGCUGGGGCACUUGCUGCUUCCUGGGAGCUGGAGCAGCUGCUUCGGACAGUCUCGGCCUUUUUGUCCCAUGGGACCUUCCGGGUAGAUCCGCGACGGCCUGUCCCUGCUCAUCUGGUGUGUCCUCUAACGCGUACCCCUUCAACGACUGCCCAGCAGAGGGCUUGCUGAAGGCCUGUUGCGGCCUGGGUGUUUCCCUCCUUCUUG